AUCGGGUACGGGGACCGUGUCAGGCGGGCAGUUUGACUGGGGCGGUCGCCUCCUAAAGAGUAACGGAGGCGUUCCAAGGUUCCCUCAGAAUGGUUGGAAAUCAUUCGAAGAGUGCAAAGGCAUAAGGGAGCUUGACUGCGAGACCUACAAGUCGAGCAGGGACGAAAGUCGGACUUAGUGAUCCGGUGGUACCGCAUGGAAGGGCCAUCGCUCAACGGAUAAAAGCUACCCUGGGGAUAACAGGCUUAUCUCCCCCAAGAGUCCACAUCGACGGGGAGGUUUGGCACCUCGAUGUCGGCUCAUCGCAUCCUGGGGCUGAAGUAGGUCCCAAGGGUUGGGCUGUUCGCCCAUUAAAGCGGUACGCGAGCUGGGUUCAGAACGUCGUGAGACAGUUCGGUCCCUAUCUGUCGUGGGCGCAGGAAAUUUGAGAGGAGCUGUCCUUAGUACGAGAGGACCGGGAUGGACGUACCGCUGGUGCAUCAGUUGUUCCGCCAGGAGCAUGGCUGAGUAGCUACGUACGGACGGGAUAAGCGCUGAAAGCAUCUAAGCGUGAAGCCCCCCUCGAGAUGAGAUUUCCCAAUU
rnacentral:rRNA from 1 species